UACGAGGGGUGCAAACGUUAUUCGGAAUUACUGGGUGUAAAGGGUAUGUAGACGGCGUCUUAAGUCAAUUGUUAAAUUCCCGGCUAACUGGGGCGAGCGAUUGAAACUAGGAUGCUAGAGGAUGGAAGAGAGAAGUGGAAUUCUCGGAGUAGCGGUAAAAUAGCGUAGAUCUCGAGAGGAACACCGAUGGCGAAGGCAGCUUCUUUGGUCCAUUUCUGACGUUGAGAUACGAAAGCGUGGGGAGCAAACAGGAUUAGAUACCCUUGUAGU
rnacentral:rRNA from 1 species